AGUUGUGGGCAGCAGUGCCACGACUGACCUAGAAUGACCUCACAAUGCAGCUUGCAGCGCCAGGCUCUGGAUGAGAAACUAGAGCAGAUGACAGUGUAAGCAGCUUCUGCUGAGACCACAGCAGCCACAGCAGACAACUUACUCUUCUUUGUUGUUUCUGAUUAGAUCUUUUCACACUUUUUGUUUUUUCUUAGAGAAGACAAGGGUGUCUCAUUGAAGCUUAGGGAAAUGAUUGAAUUUUAAUGGAAUCUAAUUGGCUCCCAUGGUUAUCUCAAAGGAGCUGUGAUCAUAAAAGUUAAUUAAAUUAGAUUCAUUUGCAUAUUCAAGACCAUUCCCUUCCAUCACUUUGAGACCAAGAUGUGUCCCCUGUCCCUGGAUAAGACACACAGCCAUGUCCAGAUUGCUUUCUUUGUGUCCUGGAAAUUGGAGCAGCAGGUUAUCUUUUAAUCCCCUGGCCUGGUUCAUAUUCCCACCUGUUCCAGGUGAGUGGCAAUAUAAGAGUUAAACUGGUUUGCAGUGAAGUCCUCACUUUGAAACACGGAACCAGUUCUUCACAGAAAGAGCUUUGCCGUGCCUACAGACUGAGGUCAUUUCCCAAACAAAAGGUGAAUUCAGAAUGUUCAGCAGAGAAGGAACUAGCAGCAUUUACAGCCACGGGACUGGCGAGAAGCCUCUCCCGUUUGCGUGGGCUUGCACGUGUGUUGGCAACAGCAGUGUCUACAGCUUCAUUACGGGUCAGAGGAACGGAACCAUUGGACCCUGAGAGGAUGUCUCGUCUAGGCUGCUGCCUGUGGUAGGCCUAAAAUAACCAGCUGAAAUGGGACUCUGGCCUGGUUCCGGAAGCCUCUAGGGAAGGCUUCCUCUAUAAUCCGACCCAUUUUUAACAAUCCUUAAUAUCGUCCCAGAAAGCAUUCCUUGUGUCUAACGUGCGCCCCGGCGCUGCUGAUUUGCUGUUUACUCUUGCCGGGCAAUGCAGGGGUGGGCGGUCAGCUCAGCUCCCCCACCUGCGCGUCUUACGUUUCCUUCCGAUAUCAACUGGUGCCUGGGCCUGUCUCUGUGAACGGGGGGCAAUGUCUGCCCCACUUCCUGUACAACUCCUGCCUUUAAUACAGGCAAGGUGGAGCGCCACCUUCAUUCUCCCCUCGUGAGAAGACAGGGUUGAUGUUCUUAUUUCUAAUGUUUUUGUCUAUAAUGUGCACAAAUGUGCCACACCCUGUGCUAAGCUCUUGAGAAACAAUGGACAGACCGCGACCCUGCCCCCUGCACGGAACUCAGUCAUAAUACAAGUCAUUACAAGUGUGAUGAGUGUCACAAAGAAGUGUAGGUCACUAAGAAAUCACACAACAGGCUGAGGUGACACAGACUGGAGGACAGGAAAGCUUUCUGGAUAAAGUGGUGUUUGCCCUGAAACCUGAGGACGCACAGGAAUUAAAGUGGAAAAUGGUGUUCACAGCAGAGCGAACGGCAUGUACAAAGGCCCUAACAAGAGAAAGAGCAUGGCCUGUGUGUGGGUUGGUGAGGAAGUUCAGACAGCAGGAAGAAGCUAUAGGUCAUAGACAUCACUCACUGCCCAUACUCGCUCAGCUGUGAGAGGACCGUCCAGGACUGAAGCCCAGGGCCCUCGUCCUGGCUUAUACAACUUGAGAACUCUGAGCACCUGGAUCCUUAGAGACAAGGACCAGACAUCUGGAGAAAGGAUGGAAGACAGAGGCCUCGCCUGUGCACCAGAGGCCUGGCUUGCUCUAGAGGCCCCGAGAGUCAGCACGGCUAGCACAGAGCAGUGGCCUGGUUCUCAGGGGCUGGGUGCUCUGUCACACUCUCAGGGUCUCCACCCCCCAUCUGUAAGAGGAGGAGUUUAGAUAUGGACCCUCCUGACUCACAUUCUGGAGUCAUUUAGCAACGAGAGUCCCUGAACGGCUCGGGUCGUAAGUGGGUCACGUUGUUGCUGAGCUAGCCUACAUUUGGCAGGGGAGGAGUGAGUCAGACAGCCAGUAGGCCUCUCUCCAGUUCACGUUUUUGCAGGGUUUUUUUAUUGUGGUAAAAUAGACAUAAAAUUUACCAUUUUAACCAUUUUUAAGUGUACAAUUCAGUGGCAUUAAUUACAUUCACGAUGUUGGGCAGCCAUCACCACUCAGUCCUUCCAAAACCUUUUCACUCCGAUUCACUAUUAUUUUACAGCGAGGAUAGCUUCUUUUUUCUAGUUGUAUUGAGCUCGAAUUGACAUAUGACGUUGUAUGCAAGGUGCACAACAUGAUGAUUGGAUGUAUGUCUAUACUGCACAGCGUCUGGGCGAGUUCUGCCAGUGUCCUCACAGCCAUGAACCUGAUCGUCUGUCACCACCCCUGACUUGGACCUUGAGAGAUCAGAUAAAGCAACAGGUUGUGGUGGGACCAGACUUUCAACUCAAAUCUCUUUAAAAUUUGGCUCGCCCCUCGACACCUAGCUGCUUUCCCAGACAGCUGCAGGGUAGACCUGAACAGAGGAUGCUGAAGAAUGAGCAAAAGCAAGGAAGACAAGAAGCGAAUGGAUGCUCCCUCUGCUCAGCCUCACUCGGACUGUGACUGGUAUUGUCACAUGCCGUCUGGCUUCUCCACUUUCUCAUCUCUCUAGGCCGUGAGAUUGAUGGUAUUUACUGCCCCACUUUUGAAGGAUGGCAUGUGGCUCAAUUACUUAGGAAAAUCCUUAGAGUGUCAGGGUGCUCGGGAGGUGUGGAGGGUCAACAGCCUUGGAAAGGGCUGAGCUCCCGCGACCCAGGUGGUGACAGAAGGGCGGGAAUCCUGAGGCCAGGUGAACUGCCCGCCCUCCAGAAGCCUUUGCCAUGGCCUUAAUAGAAGAGAAAAUCAACAUGAGACGAGGGGAUUGUCAGGAAAACUCGUGUGAAGAGUUCAGGUUUUGUUUCCUUCCUUUUUCCCUCAACAGCUGUGCCGUGAGAAUUCAAAGCAUAAGGCAGGAGAAGGGGUUAAAAACAGAAGAACAGCAGCCAGUGUGACAAUAGCACAGUAAGAAGAGCAGCUUGGGUUAUACAAGGGGACUGUGGAAAACGCUGAAGAGAGCUAGAGCAGAGCGGGGGCACACACGGCGACACCCCGGGAUCCCUACAGGCUCGAAAGGAACCCAUUGGGAUCUCAUAAAAUAAAGAAGAAACAUAGCACUCCAAAGCGGGGAGAUUUUUAGAUAAAAGUGUUUGCUCCUCGGGGUGAAGUCAGACGCCGUCCUGUUGGCGUGCAGGGCCCUCCGUGGGCCACCUCUCCAGCCUCAUCCCUCUGCCCCGUGAAAACCAACAACUCUCUGAAGAAGUGCUCAAACUGCUCUCGUUCUCGGUCAUGCUCUCUCACUGUCUCUCAGGCCCUCACUUCCCUUCUCUGACCUCGGACCAGCGAGGGUCUCCCAGUGACACCUCUAACCGCUCUGUGCUAACCUUGUUAUCCUUGUAAAUACUGUUUAACAUCUGCUUUCCUGCUAGAAGUUGGGCUCUCCCAGGCCAGGGUCCCCAUCUGCCUCAUUUGCUGCUGUGUUGCCAACCCUGGCACCGUUGUGGACAAAUGAAUGAAUGCUGAUGCCCAACUUCAUGACCUGAAGGGCAAACAGUUGCUCUUUAGUGUGUGUAUCAGUCAGGGUUCAACCAGAGAAGCAGAAACCAGUAGGAGGGUUUUUCUCUCUCUCCACUUAUUUAUUCCCCGGGAUUGUCCUACACGGUUGCAAGAGCUGGCUACGCAGACCUGACCUCCACAGGGCAGGCAGUCACGAAGGGGAGAGGACCAGCAGGCUGGGAGGCCACAAGGACGAGCUGGUGGAUGCACGUAGUCUGCAGAAGCCAGGGCUUGGUCCUGGAGCUGAAUGCACACACUUAGCCCAAGAGUCAGUGAAACGAAGGAAGAAACAGCUGCGAAGGAAAGCAGUUACAGGUCUGCUGCUGCUUCUCACCCGCGAGGCAGGGCAGCAGAGCAGCAGGAGCAACAGAGCGUUGUCCCAGGUGUAGAAAGGGGUUCUAAACUCCUUCUGCUCUGCUGGUGACUUGUACUCUCUGACCUCAGGCAGGGUCUAUACCCUCUUUUUAAAAGCUCCCUCCAGCUUUCCACUGACUAAGUCACUUGGAAUAGUCUCCCUUUUGAUUCAAGUCGACUGAUUAGGACUUUUAACUACAUCUGCAAAAUCCCUUCACAGCGGCACCUGGAUUGGUGGCUGGUUGAACAACUUGGAGAAGGUGUGUAUAUGCUACAAAACAGCUGCUGCUUCCUUCCAUCCUCCAGUUUUUGCAAGAGCAUCUCACUCAUAGCCCACGUGGCCAGAAACAUGGUAGAAAGGAAGUCCUCUGGGCUGUAGUUCAGCCUGGCCAAGCGGAUAUGUCACAAAGCCAUCACAGGUUACAUCAUAGGACAACUAUCUCCUUCACCUCCAGUUCGACCCUGAAUGAAAACAAUUACUAAUAGAAACUAGUGAUAUUCAGAAGUUGGAGGAGCCACUUUGCGGGCAGAAGUAGUGUUGACCCGGCAGAGGCAAAUGAGCAAAUCUGGCAAGGAGCACAGAGCGAGACACCUUAGAGGAGGACGCUCCCAAGAAGCAGAGGAGUGACAAAGCAGAUGGAAGUUCCUUCUGUGAGGAAACCAAAUUCUCUACUCGUUCGAUCCAGCCUCCGUUACCUCCAUCUCUAUAAUUUAAGGUGUCAAUAUACAUGCAGUAAGCGCUUGAUUGUUUGAUUUAUUAAGUGAGCUCUGACCGCUCAACCUGAGUCCACAGACAACGGCCGCAGUGUCAAGAGCUUGUCAGAAAUACAGACUGUCCUGAAUCACAAUCUGCGUCUUAAGAACAUUUCCAGGAGAUCUGUAAGCACAUCAAGGUCAGAGAAGCUCUGGUUUAGAAGACACUUUGAUUCUUACACUGUUACUAUGAGUCUAGGAAGUUCUUUCUCUCCCCAAAGAUCAUAUCUUGCCAUCGAGGACACUUUCCAGGGGCCGGGGGUAAGAGCUGACGUCACUGGGCACCAACCAUGUGCCAGGAGCAGAGGGCACUUAUUGACAUCAUGGGAGCCACACAGCUAGAAAAAAACGGAGCUAGGUCGGCACUUAAUCCAGCUUCUGGGUAACGUUUUCUGUCACUAGGCUGCUGAGCCAGCUGCUGCUUUUCGGCAGGGGUGCUGUUAGUACUUAGGGCCUGGCAGUUUGGAGGGACUGUCCCACGUUCUUCAGGACACUUGAGGUCCUUGUCUACCACCCACUAAGAGCAAGAAUAUCUCCAGUAUCUUGACGACCUAAGAAAAGCACCAUGCAUUUCCAGAGGCCUGUGCGGGCGCCACGGGCUCCCAGGAACCACAGUGGCUUGUGGAGUCCAUGUCGUGAUUUUGAGAAACGAAUCUCCUAGGAUUUGUUUCUUUCUUCCAAUGUUUAACCUAUUUAUGAAAUUUUGUAACAUUUUACAUUUUAUUUUUUAUUUCAGCAGAAAACUGUAACUAUUGAGGGCCUGCUCUCAUGGAGAGUAAAAAUAAAGUCCUUGCCUUCUGGCAGCUGACUAUCUGGUUAGGGAAAUAAAGCCUUAGCAGUUCAAGGCACUCUGAGAUUAAGUCCUGAAAUGACCAGAAAAAGACCCAGAUUCAUGUUCUGGCUUUAUGCUACUUAUAACUUGUGAGCCCACUGGCAGCCUCCAAGCCUGGUCCCCAUCUGUAAGGUGAAGGGAUUACUAAUCAAUGCAUGCAAAUUGUCAGUACAGCACCUAAAGCAUGAUUUAUGCUUAAGAGAUGUCAGCCGGUCCCACAAAUCCCCAUCUCCUCCUAAUCACCGGGGAGACAGGACAAAAGUGAGAUGGAGAGAGGAUGUGCCAAGGGCGGAGAGCAUUCUAGGCCAGAGGCACAGCCUAAGCAAAAGCUGGGUGCUGGGAAUGAGCGUGCCCAAGGAAGAAACUAUACAGGACUCACAAAGGGGAUGGAGUGAAGGGUUCAGGUCAAGGAGACAGGAGAAGUGAACACAUCGACGUAAAAACGAGAUUGCGUUUGCACAGGAUCUCCUGGGGAUUUUUGAAUUUCUUCAGCAUCACGACUUUCAAAGAAAUGCAAAAAAUGUAGGCCUACAGAGAAGCUGAACUUCCUACAGCAACGAGCAUGGAAGUAUCUAUUACCAGUCAGAGUCUUUAAGAAGCCUGAAGAAAUAAAUACAUGACACA